UCCCAUAUGGGUGUAAUGGUGAGCACUCUGGACUCUGAAUCCACUGGUCUGAGUUCAAAUCUCAGUGGGAC
rnacentral:tRNA from 1 species